rnacentral:rRNA from 1 species
CAUGCAAGUCGAGCGAGACUCUUCGGAGUCUAGCGGCGGACGGGUGAGUAACACGUGGGCAACCUGCCUGUAAGACUGGGAUAACACCGGGAAACCGGUGCUAAUACCGGAUAAUCCUUUUCCUCUCAUGAGGAAAAGCUGAAAGUCGGUUUCGGCUGACACUUACAGAUGGGCCCGCGGCGCAUUAGCUAGUUGGUGAGGUAACGGCUCACCAAGGCGACGAUGCGUAGCCGACCUGAGAGGGUGAUCGGCCACACUGGGACUGAGACACGGCCCAGACUCCUACGGGAGGCAGCAGUAGGGAAUCUUCCACAAUGGACGAAAGUCUGAUGGAGCAACGCCGCGUGAGCGAUGAAGGCCUUCGGGUCGUAAAGCUCUGUUGUUAGGGAAGAACAAGUACCGGAGUAACUGCCGGUACCUUGACGGUACCUAACCAGAAAGCCACGGCUAACUACGUGCCAGCAGCCGCGGUAAUACGUAGGUGGCAAGCGUUGUCCGGAAUUAUUGGGCGUAAAGCGCGCGCAGGCGGUCCUUUAAGUCUGAUGUGAAAGCCCACGGCUCAACCGUGGAGGGUCAUUGGAAACUGGGGGACUUGAGUGCAGAAGAGGAAAGCGGAAUUCCACGUGUAGCGGUGAAAUGCGUAGAGAUGUGGAGGAACACCAGUGGC